rnacentral:rRNA from 1 species
UACAGAGGGUGCAAGCGUUGUCCGGAAUCACUGGGCGUAAAGGGCGCGUAGGCGGCCCGGUAAGUAGGGGGUGAAAUCUCACGGCUCAACUGUGAGGCUGCCUUCUAGACUGCCAGGCUCGAGCACAGUAGAGGCUGGUGGAAUUCCCGGUGUAGCGGUGGAAUGCGUAGAGAUCCGGAAGAACACCGGUGGCGAAGGCGGCGACCUGGUCCGUUACUGACGCUGAGGCGCGACAGCGUGGGGAGCAAACAGG